rnacentral:rRNA from 1 species
UACGGAGGAUCCAAGCGUUAUCCGGAAUCAUUGGGUUUAAAGGGUCCGUAGGCGGUUUUGUAAGUCAGUGGUGAAAGCCCAUCGCUCAACGGUGGAACGGCCAUUGAUACUGCAAGACUUGAAUUAUUAGGAAGUAACUAGAAUAUGUAGUGUAGCGGUGAAAUGCUUAGAGAUUACAUGGAAUACCAAUUGCGAAGGCAGGUUACUACUAAUGGAUUGACGCUGAUGGACGAAAGCGUGGGGAGCGAACAGG